GUGCUCACUUUGGCAGCACAUGUCCUAAACUUGGAACAAUACAGAGAUUAGCAUGGCCCCUGAGCAAAGAUGACCCACAAAUUCAUUGUGUUCCAUAUUUUC